rnacentral:rRNA from 1 species
UGCAAGUCGCACGAGAAAGGGUAGCAAUACCUGAGUACAGUGGCGCACGGGUGAGUAACACGUGAAUUAUCUACCUUCGAGUGGGGAAUAACUGGGAGAAAUCUCAGCUAAUACCGCAUAACACUUACGAGUCAAAGCAGCAAUGCGCUUGAAGAGGAGUUCGCGGCAGAUUAGUUAGUUGGCGGGGUAAUGGCCCACCAAGACGAUGAUCUGUAUCCGGCCUGAGAGGGCGCACGGACACACUGGAACUGAAACACGGUCCAGACUCCUACGGGAGGCAGCAGUGGGGAAUUUUGCGCAAUGGGGGAAACCCUGACGCAGCAACGCCGCGUGGAGGAUGAAAUCCCUUGGGAUGUAAACUCCUUUCGAUCGGGACGAUUAUGACGGUACCGGAAGAAGAAGCCCCGGCUAACUUCGUGCCAGCAGCCGCGGUAAUACGAGGGGGGCAAGCGUUGUUCGGAAUUAUUGGGCGUAAAGGGCGCGUAGGCGGUUUGACAAGUCUGAUGUGAAAUCUCUGGGCUCAACCCAGAGUCUGCAUUAGAAACUGUCGGGCUUGAGUAUGGGAGAGGUGAGUGGAAUUUCCGGUGUAGCGGUGAAAUGCGUAGAUAUCGGAAGGAACACCUGUGGCGAAAGCGGCUCACUGGACCAUAACUGACGCUGAGGCGCGAAAGCUAGGGGAGCAAACAGGAUUAGAUACCCUGGUAGUCCUAGCCCUAAACGAUGAUUGCUUGGUGUGACAGGUACCCAAUCCUGUCGUGCCGAAGCUAACGCGAUAAGCAAUCCGCCUGGGGAGUACGGUCGCAAGGCUG